AUUGAACGCUGGCGGCAGGCCUAACACAUGCAAGUCGACCGAGUGGCGGACGGGUGAGUAAUGUCUGGGAAACUGCCUGAUUGAGGGGGAUAACUACUGGAAACGGUAGCUAAUACCGCAUACCAUCGGAUGUGCCCAGUUGGGAUUAGCUAGUAGGUGGGGUAACGGCUCACCUAGGCGACGAUCCCUAGCUGGUCUGAGAGGAUGACAAGCCACACGGGAACUGAGACACGGUCCAGACUCCGCAGGGAGGCAGCAGGGGGGAAUAUUGCACAAUGGGCGCAAGCCUGAUGCAGCCAUGCCGAGUGUAUGAAGAAGGCCUUCGGGUUGUAAAGUACGUUCAGCGGGGAGGCGUUACCCGCAGAAGAAGCACCGGCUAACUCCGAGCCAGCAGCCGCGGUAAUUC
rnacentral:rRNA from 1 species